GACGUAGGGGGCCAGCGUUGUUCGGAAUUACUGGGUGUAAAGGGUUCGUAGGCGGUGUGGCAAGUCGGGAGUGAAAUCUCUGGGCUCAACCCAGAGACUGCUUCCGAAACUGCUGUGCUUGAGUGUGAGAGAGGCUCGUGGAAUUGCAGGUGUAGCAGUGAAAUGCGUAGAUAUGCGGAGGAACACCGAUGGCGAAGGCAAUCCCCUGGGCCUGCACUGACGCUCAUGCACGAAAGCGUGGGGAGCAAACAGG
rnacentral:rRNA from 1 species